rnacentral:misc_RNA from 1 species
AAGGGAAAUUAGUAAGGAAGAAAUGUUAUUCCUUCAACACUAAAACAGCAGAAAUAUUAUUAAAAUAAGGCGAAGUCAAACAAGGAAUACCCUUUCAGACCGGAACCAUCUUAGGCAACCCUUUCAGACCGUAAUCCACACCGUUUCAACUUUAUUUUCCAAUUACUUUAUUUUCAAUAUUUUAUAUUUUUUCUUUUUAUAUUGAAAAUAA